rnacentral:lncRNA from 1 species
UUCAUCCACACGGAUAAUAUGGUGAAUUGUCGAGCCAUGCGACGUUAAAUGAAGCGCUACGUGGGAGGCAACCCACAUUUUUACUUACUGAUGUUUUUUCAUUUUUGUUAUUUGUUUUAUUUCUUAGUCAGGUGAUAUAUAGUCUCUUAACAUGGGGAGGCAGAAGGAGAUACAUUCAAUUGAAGAAGAGCCGAUACAGAGAAUG